rnacentral:rRNA from 1 species
GUAAUAGCUCACUGGUCGAGUCGGCCUGCGCGGAAGAUGUAACGGGGCUAAACCAUGCACCGAAGCUGCGGCAGCGAACGUAUCACUUAAAGCGAUUCAGCGGGUUACGAUUGACGGAGCGAAGCGACGUCAAAGCGUAUACAAAGUCGAGUCGGUUUAAGGAUACGUUCGUUGGGUAGGGGAGCGUUCUGUAAGCCUGCGAAGGUGGCCUGUGAGGGUUGCUGGAGGUAUCAGAAGUGCGAAUGCUGACAUAAGUAACGAUAAAGCGGGUGAAAAGCCCGCUCGCCGGAAGACCAAGGGUUCCUGUCCAACGUUAAUCGGGGCAGGGUGAGUCGACCCCUAAGGCGAGGCCGAAAGGCGUAGUCGAUGGGAAACGGGUUAAUAUUCCCGUACUUGGUGUUACUGCGAAGGGGGGACGGAGAAGGCUAUGUUGGCCGGGCGACGGUUGUCCCGGUUUAAGCGUGUAGGUGUGUGUUCCAGGUAAAUCCGGUUCACUUUAACACUGAGGCGUGAUGACGAGGCACUACGGUGCUGAAGCAACAAAUGCCCUGCUUCCAGGAAAAGCCUCUAAGCAUCAGGUAACAUCAAAUCGUACCCCAAACCGACACAGGUGGUCAGGUAGAGAAUACCAAGGCGCUUGAGAGAACUCGGGUGAAGGAACUAGGCAAAAUGGUGCCGUAACUUCGGGAGAAGGCACGCUGACACGUAGGUGAAGUGAUUUACUCA